rnacentral:lncRNA from 1 species
CUAUUGAAUCGGUCUUUUGAAUAAGUCAUGCUUUUAUUUUGAAGAUUGCUUUGUAAUUCCCACCUUCAAUAUAUCCACAUUUUACUCAUUCCAGUUUGAUAUUUAAAGACCUCAAAACUUACAUGUUCCCAAAACUAAAUUGUUUCAACUUUCUCAAGGCUAAUUAAUUGUCAUAAAGAGCUACUAAUUGAUCAAAAGAAAAUGAAGACCAUUCAAUUAAUAUGCAUCGUCUUCGUCGUACUCUUGUCAUCAUUCCCGGCUACAAUCAAGAGUAAGAAGUUGGCAGAUACUUGCUUUGAAAGUCUUGCUUACUGCAUGAACCUUAUUCCUAGAGAUAAAAAGUACUGGGAAAAGGACUGUUGUAACGUUCGUGCAAAGCGAGAUCAAGCGGCGACAAAACAAUGUUCAUGUAUAAUAGCGAAUAAUCCUCAGAAAUAUCUUGAUCUCAUCAAGCUUUUCAAAGCCUGUGGAUUAGGCAAUGUAGGUAAUUAUCACAACCAGCCUUGCAAAUGAUACGAGCCGAACAUAGUCAACAAACCCAACCGCCAAGGAUCGUCAAACCAAAUUGGAGAUAUUUAUUUAUACGCAAUCAUCGGUUAUUUCCUUAUAUAUUUUAUCAUUUUAAUUAAGCUAUUGUUUAAUAAGGAGAGAGAAUUGGUCUUCUACAUGUUCGUGAACCAUCUCUCUCAUUUUUAUUCUGCUCGCAUGAAUUACAAAUUUACAAUUCCAUGUUCUUUUGUUUCUAGGUAUUUUUUAAUAUUUUAUGAAAAUAAAACUAAAAUAGGUUGUCUACUCUAAAUUACCAUUAAGAAUUUUUGUUGUUCUUAAUCUUGGUACUUUGAGACUUGUAACACCAACUAAUAGUACAAUCCAUAAUUAUUAUGCAAGGGGAUAUUUUUCAAUCCAAAAAUUAGUCUAAUGCAACUUUGGCUUUGAUUGGUCAUUCAUAGAGUAAAAGGGAGAAAUAUAAAAACGUCAGAAGUGAGAAGAAAAAAAUGAAGAAAUAUUGUUACUCUCAUUAAAUCUAUUUAAUCUCGAGUAAAAUUGAAUGUAUAUUUAUAUUUGUUUUGUUUACACAAUAAUAAGAGUAAAUGAGAAAAAUCUAGUUAUAUAUAUUAUAUCAUGAAAAUUUCAAAUUUGUUUCAAUUAUUAUAACUCUUUAUACUGUAUUAAAUAAUUUUUUGGUCAAAUUAAAUAAGAUAUUCUUAAAUCUAUAAACUAAAAAUAAGUAAAAUUGGGGUUUGCUACCAAAUAUGUAUUCUUCUAAAUCGAUUAAAUAUCAAUGAGAUUAACCAUUACACACGUAUGAUAAGGUGGUUUCCUUAUAUUUAUGACAUUUUUAUUCCAUUAUUCUUACUUGGUGCCAUAAAUUCAUUUUUAAGAUGAAAAUAUAACAAAAACUUUUUUAGAUAUAUACAUUUCAUCUAGUAAUAUAGUACUUCUACUACUUUUGAAGAGAAGAUGGAAACAUGUCUGCAGAUAAUCUCUUCGUCAAGACUAUCUCAUCUCCAAGACCUACCAAAUUUGGAUCCUCUGGCGAAUAAGAAAGAGUUGUAAUAUACUCGUAUUCCAACAAAAACAGUUACGUUGGAAAAAUAGUUCUUAAACAGUCUCGUGUAGAUGCAAAUGAAUGGAAAGAACCGGAAGAAGCACAAAAACAGCUUCACCAAGGUGAAAACAACGAAAUCGGAAUGUGAUUAUGAGACCAGUGAGGAAAAGAUGGACCCCUCCGCAGAAUGGAUGGCUAAAGUGCAACAUAGAUGGUUCGUAUGUGGAUUCUUUCACACCAAGUACAGCUGGAUGGGUUAUAAGAGACUCUAAUGGAUACUAUCUUGUAGCUGGACAAGCAAAAGGAAACAAAGUACAUAGUGCUCUGGAAUCUGAAAUACAGGCUCUUCUUAUUGCAAUGCAGUUUUGCUGGUCUAAAGGUUACAAGAAGAUAAUCUUUGAAGGAGAUAAUAAAGAUCAUAGAUAUUCUUACCAAGGAAAGGCUCCAUUUUGAUGUUCAUAACUGGAUAAGAGAGAUGAUUUGGUGGUCUUCUAAGUUUGAAGAAGUUCAAUAUCACUGGAUUGGCAGAGAAGGGAGCACUGUUGCAGACCAACUCGCAAAACAACAACUACCGGAAAAUAUUUCUUAUGUUUUUCAUUUCUUUGUUCCAAGAUGUAUGAAUUCGUUUUUGCAUCAUGAUUAUGUAAAAACAAAAGAUUUGUUUAUUGAAAGUUACAUAAUCAAUAAGCGAGAUGAAGUAGAUUGUUUCUAAUGUGAUGUUUAGGAAGCAACCUGAGUAAAUUUGAUCACUCACGAAACUUGUUUUUCUUUAGAUUUUGCCCAAAAAAGUUUUUCUUUAGAAAUUAUAUGUACAUUAUUUAGUAAGGUUACAAUAUGAACUCCAUACUUUCAAUGCAUUUAUAACAAUUAAUCACAUCAAGAAAUUACCUACAAUUGAUCUGGUGUAUCGGAAAGUGGUGCUUCUUUAAUUGUCUUUUUGCAAUUUGUAUCCUUUUCUUGUAAAGUUUUAUAUGCAUCUCCAAAUGAACUAUGAAUUUUGCCAGCAACCAUUAUGAUAUUCCCAUAAUAUAAGUAGAUGGGAUUGCUGUUUAGUAUGAAGUUUAAUAAAGAUUUUAAAGUGAGAUUAUUAAGAUACAAGAAAUAUAAAUAAAGGUUCUGGUAUUUAUAUGUGAUUUUGCAAAUAUGUUUUAUAAUUUUCUGGAGUUUCUUUGUUUCACUUUUAUGUUAUAUUUUGCUAAUGCGUACAACUCUUUAUAUGAAGACUAAAAGUUGCCAUAGUUAAGUUUUUAAAGUUUACAAAUAAUUGAUCAUCAAAUGUUGCAAUAGUAACCAUUAAAAAUUCAAGGCGAUAUAUAAUAAUAUAAAUAGUUGCAAGUUUUUAUCUAUACCAUUAUAGUAAUACCCUUAAACAAGUUUAGAUGCUACCUUAAAGAUUUUGUUUCAUACAUAUUUUGUUGAAAAAGAAAAUUGUUGAGAAUUGACCACAUGUAAACCGAAAUUGUUGAGAAUUAAACUGAAAGCUAUAUGACGAUAAAUUAAUAAUUGUUUUUAUUUUAUACAUAUAUAAACGGUAGUGAUCUAUCAGGUUGAGAAGUUGAUAUCUUGCAUAUUUCUAUUGUUUUAUCCAUUCACCCAUGUGCAUUUUGAUCAUAUAGAUUAGGAUUUAGCCAUGUUUAGGUUGCAUUUUGCAUACAUGAGUCCUUAUCAGGCAUUGGAGUACCACAUGGAGUUCUUGGAGACAUUUGGAUGCAAUUGGAGUUCAAAAGAAGUGUUUAAAGUGAUCAUUGGGCGAACACCUUACCGGAGCGACCAGUCCGGAACGACACCAUCAAGUCGCUCUGAUCUCCCUAUCAGAGCGACCUUACCAGAGCGACAGGGAAGAGUCGCUCGCGUUUUGAUCACCCAGAGACGCGAGAACGAGUCUAGAGCGACCUCUCGCAGCGACACAGCGAGGAUGCUCCCGAAGCAUGGAGCGACUUCACGGAGCGACAAGGAGGAGUCGCUCGCGUUUUCAUCACUCGGAGACGCGAGAACGAGUCUGGAGCGACCUCUCGCAGCGACACAGCGAGGUCGCUCCCGAAGCAUGGAGCGACUUGUCGGAGCGACGAGCGGAGGUCGCUCCGCGUCUUAUUUCUGCUCGAACUUAUGAUUUCUCAAGGGCCUUUUGGUCAUUUCAUUAUGCACGUUUUUAUUUUCUAAACCUAUGUUUUAAUACUCUGUAAGCCACCAGGAGGCAGAUCAUCUUUGUUCUUAAGAAAAACCACCAAAAACCUUUGGAAAGUCAUCUCUUGAAUCAAUUGAUCAGUUUUGUUAUUGAAAUUCUGUGUUCUUAUAUCUAUUUUCUGUGUUUCUCUACAUGAUUAAUCUGAAAUCCAAUAUGGGUUUAAGAGGAAUCAUGGAGAUUAGUGAGUAAUCACUCUUUGAAUUCAUGGGUUAGGGAGAUUAAUGGUGAUUAGGUUAGAGCUAGGAUGUUUUAGUGUAGAUCAUUCAUAUUUCCUUGCUAACAGAGUGAACAUAAUGCAUCUUCUGAGUUGGCCACUCAGUUGUUGAUCCUUAGGCAUUUCUCACCCGAAAGGUGUUCGAGGAAAUGCCCGAGACAACUCUUCUAAGCUUUUAGCAUACUUUGCCAAAGACAUUUGUUGUUAGAGGUGCUAAGAUAGCCAUUGGACUUGCUAGUUAUGAUUGCUUUCAUAUUAUUCAACCAAAGACAUUUGAUGUUUGAAUUGUGUUAGUAAAUGAACAUUCAUCUAGACAUAGAGUUUGUUUAGGAUUGUGUCUAAGCUUAAAAUUGAUAGUUGAUUGAUCGUUUGUCAUCCUUAGUUCGAAACUUGAUCACCCGAGGUCUAAUCCAUAUAUCCAUGAGUUCUCUUUUCUCAUAGUUAAGAAAGUAUCAUUUAGUUAUUCCUUUUAGUUAGUUAUAGUUUAAAAACCCUUUUAAAAACCAUUGGUUGCACUUAGAUUAAGUGAUUAUUUGCAUUCUCAGUGUUUUCAUAUCUCUCAGAACUGGUUCGACAAUCAUUUAUAUUACAACAUUUGUCUUACGAGCCUUGAAAACUCUUAACAUCAGAAGUAUAUCAAAAGCCUGAGAAGGAAUAGCCUAGAUGAUAAGUCUAGGGUUUUUUAUGUUUUGUUUACUAAUUGGUGUUUUGGAUCUAAUAGGGUUGAAAUAUUUUGUAAACGGUAUUGGUUAAUCUUGUGAUGUUUGGUAUCAAUUUUUGCAACCAGUAUAUAUGCAACAUGAUGAUUUUUUUUAGUACUAAGAGAUCAUAAUUAAGCGAUCAACGUCAUCAGAGAAACAAGGGAGUCGUCAGAAUGUAUGGAUUAAUUCAAUGAAAGCUAACAUUCUAACCACUAAUACAUGUGCGAGUACAUAUAUAUAAUAGGUAAUAUGAAAUUUCAACCAUUCUUAAUGUAUUAAGAGAGGAAAUGUACUAAAUAUAUAAUGUAUUAUUGUUGAGUACACGUUGAUUAUUAUCCCAAACCAAUGAGAGCUUGACUAUGAACUAAGCUUUUGUACAGCUUGAGUAGUUGAGUUCUUCGCUUAUCCUCCUAUACUCAACCAAGGACCGGAUCUUUCUGUCUCCAUAGAGCUUCCCAUGUUAACGAUUCAGACAGAUUGAGUUAUUAUUCAUACGAAAGGAUACACCUACUCAUCACUCAUCAAAAACUCUAUUUUUAUUCACUUCCUAUUGAAUCGGUCUUUUGAAUAAGUCAUGCUUUUAUUUUGAAGAUUGCUUUGUAAUUCCCACCUUCAAUAUAUCCACAUUUUACUCAUUCCAGUUUGAUAUUUAAAGACCUCAAAACUUACAUGUUCCCAAAACUAAAUUGUUUCAACUUUCUCAAGGCUAAUUAAUUGUCAUAAAGAGCUACUAAUUGAUCAAAAGAAAAUGAAGACCAUUCAAUUAAUAUGCAUCGUCUUCGUCGUACUCUUGUCAUCAUUCCCGGCUACAAUCAAGAGUAAGAAGUUGGCAGAUACUUGCUUUGAAAGUCUUGCUUACUGCAUGAACCUUAUUCCUAGAGAUAAAAAGUACUGGGAAAAGGACUGUUGUAACGUUCGUGCAAAGCGAGAUCAAGCGGCGACAAAACAAUGUUCAUGUAUAAUAGCGAAUAAUCCUCAGAAAUAUCUUGAUCUCAUCAAGCUUUUCAAAGCCUGUGGAUUAGGCAAUGUAGCUAAUUAUCACAACCAGCCUUGCAAAUGAUACGAGCCGAACAUAGUCAACAAACCCAACCGCUAAGGAUCGUCAAACCAAAUUGGAGAUAUUUAUUUAUACGCAAUCAUCGGUUAUUUCCUUAUAUAUUUUAUCAUUUUAAUUAAGUUAUUGUUUAAUAAGGAGAGAGAAUUGGUCUUCUACAUGUUCGUGAACCAUCUCUCUCAUUUUUAUUCUGCUCCCAUGAAUUACAAAUUUACAAUUCCAUGUUCUUUUGUUUCUAGGUAUUUUUUAAUAUUUCAUGAAAAUAAAACUAAAAUAGGUUGUCUACUCUAAAUUACCAUUAAGAAUUUUUGUUGUUCUUAAUCUUGGUACUUUGAGACUUGUAACACCAACUAAUA